rnacentral:tRNA from 1 species
GUGGGUAUAGCUCAGUGGUAGAGAACGUGCUUAGCAUGUACAAGGUCCUAGGUUCAAGCCCCAAUACCUCCA